rnacentral:hammerhead_ribozyme from 1 species
GUACAGCUGAAGAGUCAUAAACUAGGACGAAACAGCUGUCCAGUAC